rnacentral:rRNA from 1 species
UGAGAGUUGAUAGCUGAAAGCUGUGUGCUGUUGGUUAACUUAGUGGCGCACGGGUGAGUAACACGUAGGUAACCUGCCCUUAAGAGGGGGACAACUCAGGGAAACUUGAGCUAAUACCCCAUAAGACCACAAACUGAGAUAUUAGUGGUAAAAGGAGCAAUCCACUUAAGGAUGGGCCUGCGGCCUAUCAGGUAGUUGGUGAGGUAACGGCCCACCAAGCCUAAGACGGGUAGCCGGUCUGAGAGGACGUACGGCCACACUGGAACUGAGACACGGUCCAGACUCCUACGGGAGGCAGCAGUGGGGAAUUUUGCACAAUGGGCGAAAGCCUGAUGCAGCGACGCCGCGUGGAGGAUGAAGGCCUUCGGGUUGUAAACUCCUUUUGUAGGGGAAAAUAAUGAUGGUACCCUAUGAAUAAGCCACGGCUAACUCUGUGCCAGCAGCCGCGGUAAGACAGAGGUGGCGAGCGUUGUUCGGAAUUACUGGGCUUAAAGGGCGCGUAGGCGGUGAGGUAAGUCUGAGGUGAAAUCCUAUGGCUUAACCAUAGAAUUGCCUUGGAAACUGUUUUACUUGAGUCAGCGAGGGGAUGGUGGAAUUCCCGGUGUAGCGGUGAAAUGCGUAGAUAUCAGGAGGAAGGCCGGUGGCGAAGGCGGCCAUCUGGCGCUGAACUGACGCUGAGGCGCGAAAGCGUGGGUAGCAAACAGGAUUAGAUACCCUGGUAGUCCACGCCCUAAACGGUGGGUAUUAGGCGUAGGGCUCGUAAGGGUUUCUGUGCCGUAGGGAAACCAUUAAAUACCCCGCCUGGGGAGUACGGCCGCAAGGUUGAAACUCAAGGAAUUGACGGGGGCCCGCACAAGCGGUGGAGCCAUGGGUGGUUUAAUUCGACGCUACGCGAAGAACCUUACCUGGCUGACAUGUUAGUGGUAGAAUCCGAAAAGGUGAUGACCCUGGGGUACUCAGGAGCUACACAGUGCUGCAUGCUGUCGUCAGCUCGGUCCGUGGGAGAAUGGUUGGGUAGUCCCGCACGAGCGCCACCU